GAAGCUGAACACCUGGAAAACCUGGAUGCAGUCCUUGGACGACUGGAGCAGUUUGGUUUGCAUAAAAAAAAAAAAGGGAAAUGUGACUUUUUCAAGGAAUCACUAGAAUACCUGGGUCACUUAAUUGAUGCAGAAGGUUUGCACAAGUCACCUCAAAAAGUACAUGGAAUUGUCAAUGCACCAAUUCCAUCAAACAUCACACAGCUGAGAUCAUUUCUAGGCCUGUUAAACUAUUACGGGAGAUUCAUACCCAAUCUGGCAAACAUCAACUUAUGGCAUUGGUGCCAUCAUUUCCCACAUGCUACCCAGCGGUGAAGAAAGCCAAUAACUUUUGCGUCCCGCACACUUAGCAAGGCAGAACAGAAUUAUGCACAGAUUGAGCGCGAGGCUCUGGCCAUAGUGUUUGGGGUCAGAAAAUUCCAUCAAUAUCUCUACGGACGGAAAUUCAAGCUUUUCACGGAUCACCGGCCCCUUACUACGAUCUUUGGGCCACAAAAAGGAAUUCCGACUAUGGCGGCAGCGCGGAUGCAAAGGUGGGCAUUACUUUUGUCUGCGCACAACUAUACAAUAGAGUACAAAAGAGCUGAGCAUCAUGCAAAUGCUGAUGGUCUUUCCCGUCUGCCGUUACAUGUAGAGCACAGUGAGAAAACGGAUGCAGUAGAGCUAUUUUACGUCGAACAGAUGGAGAAACUCCCUGUCAGUGCCACGGAUAUCCGACGUGAGACUGUGAGUAACUCAACCUUGUCUACAUUCAUCGAAAUAGUCAUAAAAGGGACCCAAGCUGUCAACCUGACUAGUAAUAAUGAACUCUCACCUUUCAUCUCCAAACGCACUGAGUUGUCCGUCCAACACGGGUGCUUAAUGCGGGGCAUGAGAGUUGUUGUUCCCCUUAAGCUGCGGAAAAGAGUACUGGAGGAACUGCACACUGUCCAUCCACUUUCCUGAAGGCCAACCAUGUGAAGCAUAUCCAUUCAGCCCCAUAUCAUCCAGCAACCAAUGGGCAGGCUGAAAGGUUUGUUCAGUUGCUAAAACAAGCAUUGAAGAUGUCUAAGGGCUCUUCUACUCUUCAGAGACGGCUGGAAACAUUCUUGCUAACGUAUCGCAACACACCACAUCCAACGACUAGACAGGCCCCUUCUUUGUUGUUUUUGGGACGACAACUGCGCACAUGGCUGGAUGCCUUGAAACCCAGUGUGACAGCUACCGUGCGACUCUCACAGACCUUUCAGGUCCUCCGCCGUGCUGGUCUUUCGAAACCAAGACAGUUUGGAGUUGGCGAUGCAGUGCUGGCUCGUGAUUACAGAGGGAGAGAAAGAUGGACAUCAGGUGUGGUGACGGCUCAAAGUGGUCCAGUAUCUUAUACUGUGGAUGUAGGAGCUUUUGCGGAAUGGCGACGCCAUGCUGAUCAACUCUUGUCCAUUCCGAAUCAAACAGCUGAAACUCAGGUGACACAACCACCUGACAUCAGUGAUGUAUCUGUUCCUGUACAGACCUCUGUAAAUGACACUUCUUCAGCACCACCAACCAGGGAACAGGAUAUUAACAGUGACACAUCAGAGUCUCAGAUAAAUCAUGGCAAACUCAACAUUUUAUCAGUGCAGGUCAGACGUUAUCCAGCCAGAGUGAUUAAAUCGUCCAACCGUCUGACAUUAUAAGGGGCAGAAUAAUCCCCGAACUGGCUCGAGGCAAGAGGCAGUCUACCCUCUACCUCUAGAAAAAAAAAAUGCAUAAUUUUUGAGUAACUGAGAAUGCAUUAUUUUCUUUUGUUUGUUGAUUAAGAGGGGAGGAAAUGUUAUGUAUGUAAUAUCCUUAUUUCCCCAUUGUGCCUGCGGGUGGCACUGCCACUUGUAAUUGUUAGUUGUGUUCCUUAAAGAAAUAAAUCCAGAAGAAGAACAGUACCCCUGAAUCUUGGUUGUGUUAUUUGAACGUGGUUUAACCCAAGAGUUUUA
ensembl:lncRNA